UCGACCUCAUCAGGUAAAAAACCCGUU
rnacentral:rRNA from 1 species